rnacentral:lncRNA from 1 species
GGGUUCACUCUUGAUCCAAAUGUGCGACACAGAUCGCACAAACACUCAAGACACUCAAAGCUGGAAGUGCUCGCGAGGCGAGAGUUCUUACUCGCCAUGGCGAGUACCAAACAAUUCCCAAACUAAAGUUGUUCUGGGUCCAACCUUGCCCUACAUUCAAUCCUAAUCAUUACUAGGUAUGUUCAGGCACUCAAAGGCACUCAAGGUCCAACUAAAAAGGUCGAAACACAAAAUCUAACAUGCUCUCUGCCUUAGCUCGCUAUGGCGAGUAAGGUUGCUCGCUAUGGCGAGCGGUACCCAAAGGAACUCGCGAGGCGAAGGGGAAAGGCUCGCGUGGCGAGCGAUGAAGUUCAUCACUCGCGAGGCGAGGAUCAUCCCUCGCCAAGGC